UACACUCAGUAAGUGUUCCAUAUAAUCAGGUUUCUUGAGUAAAAUGGGCUGUCAGCAGCCAGCCUGUGUGAAGCACCUGUCACGUGUUGAACUAGAUGUUUCCUGCGUUAGGAACCAGGGGAUGCAUUCAUUCCUUGUUGAUCACUCAAAUAAAUGGCUCACUUCGUCAUGGUGGUAAGAUAGCCACCACGCCAAAAAUGCUGAUGGUUUUUAAUGCCAGGAAAAACUUGCCUGCAUACUCCGAGUUCUUCUCUGAUCUGUUGGAUGCAUUCUCCUAGGUCAAGCCUUCGUCUUCAGUUGUGUGUAUGAAAAUGCUUCUUGCUUUUUAAAUACUAGGGACCGAUCCCACUGUUGAUGAUAGUGCAAAGAAACCCUCCACGUCUCUCAGUGCAUAAUUUAGUCCUCUGUCAAUGCCUUCGUGUUUUCCGAGCAGAAUGUAUGAGGUGUGCCAUCUCAAAAUCAGCUGCUACCCCGGAUCUUUGAUAGAAGUCACCUCCCUUCACUUGUGGCCUAGCUGAUGCCUGAUAAGUAUUGUCAGUGUGCAGAAGUCUUGCCCCCAGAAUGUUUUGUUUAUAGCCAGUUGAGUCUGAAAAUUUUAGGAACACAGUCUCUUUGUGGAUGGAUGUUUUUAACUAUAAUCGUUGUUGCCCAGAGCCAUGGGUUUUUAAACCCCCAAUUAUCCACAUGGUGUGUCUUAUUAAUUCUUUGAACUCCUUAUUAGAAUAAAUUUUUGUGAUAAAGGACUGGGAAGUCACAAGAAUGAGGCACUGUGGACGCGCUAGUUAGACGCUGGCAGUAUUGUGAUUCUUUACAAGAUUUUUUUUAAUGACAACAUUCACAGAACUUUAAAAAAGUAUCUUAACAUGUCUGUUAAUUGGUUGCCACUGAUACAUAAGAAAUAUAUUUGUGCUUUUAAAACACAAAUGCAAGGGUACAGUUUUUAAUAUCUAGAAGUUAGGGGUUCUUUCAUUAAAGAAAAACAGACUGACCCAAACCAUUCAAUCUCACUGGGAUUUUUAGGCAUAGAAACUGAAUUAUAUAAAUAAUGAAAUAAACAGUGCCAGUAUUCAUGAUAAAGCGGGGAACUAUAUAACAUUUGGUUUUAUUCUGUUCAUUAAUUUUUAAAGGCAUACUCCUGUUUUAUCUUUUAUUUUUUUCUUAGCUUUUUUUUCCUUCAAAAUUAUCAUUUAACUAUUAAACUGCCAUUUAUUUCGCAUGGAAAUAGGGUUUAACGUUCUUGCAUGAAAAAUAUGUAAGUUGCAUAUUUUCCUUAUUUUUUUCUUUAAUAAGUGGAAGUAAAUUUGCUUGUUCUAGUACAUCUGAAUUUUCAGGCUUCCUGAAUACCUUAAUUGUAACUGUCAGUGUUGCACUGGUCAAUAUGUGGAAACAUAUUGUUCUACCCUGCUACUUACAUUUAUUUGAAAGUGAACUUGCAGUGAUAAGGAAUAUAUGAAAAAUAUAUUGUGUUUCUUUUGAUGUUGCAGAAAGUAGCACAUGUAAAACUGAUUUAUAAAAACACACUACCUGUCCAAAAAUAAAGACCAAAAUGACAUUUUGACAUUUUUCUGAAUUUGCCUUGUUUGAGAAACAGAAUAUUAUUAACUAGUUGAGCAAUACUCCCCCCACCUACCUACCUCGCAUGCUUUUUUUUUUUUAGAGCAGUCUGAUGUUUUGCUUAGUCUGUUAGUGAAACAGGAAAUAUGGAAAUAUCUUUCAAUUGAUUAAUUACUCUGUCAUCUUUUCUUUCUAGAAUAUUCUUUGUUUUAAUCAUGGAAUAGCAAGUUCAAUUGUGCCUUUGUUUCCUGAUCCAAACAAGCCUGUAUUUUUCACUUCACUAGAAUUACUGUGUAAGACAAAUGAAUACUUCUGUAAACUAUUGUGUAUGUGAAUUACAUAAUUAUACUCUAUAUCUUGUAAGCUAUUUUAAGAAAAAUUGG
rnacentral:lncRNA from 1 species